CCGAGUUGCAAAACUCCCUUAAACCAUCGCGAACGUUACCCCACAACCGUUGCUUCGGCGGGCAGGCCAACCCCUCGCGGGGCGUCUCCCCGGCCCCCCUCGCGGGGGCGCUCGCCGGAGCGGCACAACCAAACUCUUAUAACUAUUGGCCUCUCUGAGUAAGAUUUUUAAAUAAGUCA
rnacentral:misc_RNA from 1 species